rnacentral:rRNA from 1 species
GACGAACGCUGGCGGCGUGCUUAACACAUGCAAGUCGAACGGAAAGGCCCUGCUUUGGGGGGGUGCUCGAGUUGCGAAGGGGUGAGUAACACGUGAGUAACCUGCCCUUGACUGUGGGAUAACUUCAGGAAACUGGGGCUAAUACCGGAUAGGAGCUCCUGCUGCAUGGUGGGGGUUGGAAAGUUUCGGCGGUUGGGGAUGGACUCGCGGCUUAUCAGCUUGUUGGUGGGGUAGUGGAUUAGCAAGGCUUUGACGGGUAGCCGGGCUGCGAGGGUGACCGGCCACAUUGGGACUGAGAUACGGCCCAGACUCCUACGGUAGGCAGGGGAGGGGAAUAUUGCACUAUAGGAGGGAGCAUGAUGCAGCAAAGCCGCGUGGGGGAUGACGGCCAUCGGGUUGUAAACCGCUUUCGCCUGUGCCGAAGCGUGAGUGACGGUAAUGGGUAAAGAAGCACCGGCUAACUACGUG